CGAGGAAUCUUCCACAAUGGGCGCAAGCCCGAUGGAGCAACGCCGCGUGGAGGACGACGGCCUUCGGGUUGUAAACUCCUUUCGGGGGGGAGGAUACGGACAGUACCCCCAGAAGCAGCCCCGGCUAACUCUGUGCCAGCAGCCGCGGUAAUACAGAGGGGGCAAGCGUUGUCCGGAAUUACUGGGCGUAAAGCGCGCGCAGGCGGUGGUUUAUGUGCCGUGUGACAGGCGGGGGCUCAACCCCCGUGCCGCAGGGUAGACAAGGCCACUGGAGGCAGGGAGAGGGAUGUGGAAUGCCCGGUGGAGCGGUGAAAUGCGUAGAGAUCGGGCGGAACACCAGCGGCGAAGGCGGCAUCCUGGCCCUGACCUGACGCUGAGGCGCGAGAGCGUGGGGAGCGAACUGG
rnacentral:rRNA from 1 species